rnacentral:rRNA from 1 species
CUCAGAGCAGGCGAAACUACCCGCUGAAUUUAAGCAUAUCAAUAAAGCGGAAGGAAAACAACCACCGACACGCC